AGACAGAAGCAGCGGGACUGAGGACGAACCUGGACCCUCCCGCUGGGCCAGACCUUGGACCAAGACCCAAGACCAGCAGACACGCGUACCCGGACUUCCACAAGGGAGGACACUGAAACCGCACAUUCGUAUCUAAAACAGAUGAUGAUGUUCACCAGCAUCAUGUCUGGCUUCAGCCUGAGAAAGACGAGCGAGACAGGUGGUGUGUUUCUGUCUUUGGUUAUCUAGCUGUAUGAGUGUUAAAUCCCUGUCAUAAAGCUAGAUAACCGAAAGUAGAAAUGACUUCCAUAUGGCAGCGUAUUCAUGGGAGAAAGGCUGGUGACGGACUUCAGAAAUGAGAUUUUCAAUUAACCCCGGCGAUGUCGAGCGGUUCCUGAAAUCAUCAUUAAAAGAAGAAAAAAAAAAGAAGAAGAACGAGCGAUGAAGGAGGUCCAUUAUUGCCCGCUCGCCUCCGCCACUCCUCACCCCGCCGCGCCGGCGUGCCCGUGCCAGGAGGCGGACAAAGAACCCUGGCAGAUCCGGGGAGAUCUCGCAGCCAUCUUGGGAGAUGUUAGCGCGACAUCUAAAAUGGCUGGGCUGGCACACAAGGUCUGGACCCGGGAGCCUCUGUGGACAGGAACCUGGUGGAGCUCCAGCCAGGCUCGAGUCAUACAAGAGUCACCAGACACCUUAGUGUGGCCCACAAAAGACCAUUGCAUCGUUGAUGUCGAGAACACAGCAAAUCUGGGGCGCCAUUAGACCUGCAUGAAUAAAAAGAGAAGGAAUUGUGUAUUUACCACUGUGACGUAAAUGUGUUUAUAUAAUUAAAUGUAUAAUAAAUGCAUCAUUUUACUGGUGAUGCCUGUGUGAAAUUUAGUGAGAUUUUUACUGUGUCAUUUCUCUUUCAAUGCUGUGUUUACGUAAUAAACAACAUGGUUUCGAAAUGUGCAGCUCUUUUCUUGUUUAAUAUUCAUGGCGGCGGGCGUGUUUAUGAAGUUUUAAUUAUCAGCAGUGCGGAUUGGAACGUGCACAGAAUCAACUCAACCAGCGACGGAACUUUAAAGCUUAAAACUUCACAACAACUCCGUAUUUUCGCCGCCAUUU